rnacentral:sRNA from 21 species
GUCAGGAACCCCACGGCUAUAGGUUCCGAGGGCAUCGAAAUUUCCCGCACCUGACCAGCCUAAGACCUACGCGGUCUACAUGAAUUCUAAUU